CACACUAAUCACAUGCCCAGUAUGGUUGGAGCUGAGAGAGUGAGGAAAAUAUGAGCCAGAGGGUAGAGUUUGCCUUCCGAAAUGACCAGUAAGUCAACACUGGCAGCAACUCAGCCACGAGAGCAAUAUCCAGGAAGCUAACAGAACCACAGAGGACUUGAAACACAUGUGUCUGGGUUCCAGUGUUAUUCCCAAGAAAUAUCUACAGCCUUCCUCCAACACCUCCCUGGAUGAGGGAUGGAAACUAGGUGACACAUGGCAAGAAGGGACAAAUGGACACUCCAGCUGAAUUGUAACAAUGGCUUUCAGGUCCUGUUCAUCUACAGUCCCCCAUCACAAAUACCAGAAGAACUGGUCAGACCCUCCUUGGCAGGCAGAACUGAAGGUGCUAAGAGACCUCUUCAGCGUGGAGGGGUUGACAGAGACAGAAUAUGCAUAGAGGAAUGGCUCUUACCAUGACAGACAUGGCAUAUGAAUUCUCUUCAGUAGAAAUGACAUGAAGAAAUAUGCAGCACAUACCAAAAGUUUGCCAGAAUG